AACAAACGCUGGCGGCGUGCCUAAUACAUGCAAGUCGAACGGGGAAAGCUUUCGGGUGAGUACUUGUGGCGCACGGGUGAGUAACGCGUGGAUAAUCUGCCUCAGAGUGGGGGAUAACUAGUCGAAAGAUUAGCUAAUACCGCAUAAGACCACAAGAACUGCGGUUCAAGGGGUCAAAGGUUUUUCGCUCUAAGAUGAGUCCGCGUAAGAUUAGCUAGUUGGUAGGGUAACGGCCUACCAAGGCGACGAUCUUUAACUGGUCUGAGAGGAUGAUCAGUCACACUGGAACUGAGACACGGUCCAGACUCCUACGGGAGGCAGCAGUAGGGAAUAUUGCACAAUGGAGGAAACUCUGAUGCAGCGACGCCGCGUGAGUGAUGAAGGCCUUCGGGUCGUAAAGCUCUGUCGCAGGGGAAUAACACAAUGAAGGUACCCUGUAAGAAAGGAUCGGCUAACUUCGUGCCAGCCGCCGCCGUAAUAC
rnacentral:rRNA from 1 species